AGAGUUUGAUCAUGGCUCAGAACGAACGCUGGCGGCAGGCCUAACACAUGCAAGUCGAGCGCCCCGCAAGGGGAGCGGCGGACGGGUGAGUAACACGUGGGAACGUACCCUUUGCUACGGAAUAGUCUCGGGAAACUGGGGGUAAUACCGUAUGUGCCCUUCGGGGGAAAGAUUUAUCGGCAAAGGAUCGGCCCGCGUUGGAUUAGGUAGUUGGUGGGGUAAUGGCCUACCAAGCCGACGAUCCAUAGCUGGUUUGAGAGGAUGAUCAGCCACACUGGGACUGAGACACGGCCCAGACUCCUACGGGAGGCAGCAGUGGGGAAUCUUAGACAAUGGGCGCAAGCCUGAUCUAGCCAUGCCGCGUGAGCGAUGAAGGCCUUAGGGUUGUAAAGCUCUUUCAGUGGGGAAGAUAAUGACUGUACCCACAGAAGAAGCCCCGGCUAACUCCGUGCCAGCAGCCGCGGUAAUACGGAGGGGGCUAGCGUUGUUCGGAAUUACUGGGCGUAAAGCGCACGUAGGCGGACCAGAAAGUAGGGGGUGAAAUCCCGGGGCUCAACCUCGGAACUGCCUUCUAAACUCCUGGUCUUGAGGUCGAGAGAGGUGAGUGGAAUUCCGAGUGUAGAGGUGAAAUUCGUAGAUAUUCGGAGGAACACCAGUGGCGAAGGCGGCUCACUGGCUCGAUACUGACGCUGAGGUG
rnacentral:rRNA from 1 species